GGCUCCGUUGAACGCUGGCGGGAUGCUUUACACAUGCAAGUCGAACGACGGCACGGACUUCGGUCUGGUGGCGAGUGGCGAACGGGUGAGUAAUGUAUCGGAACGUGCCCUAGUAGCGGGGGAUAACUACGCGAAAGCGUAGCUAAUACCGCAUACGCCCUUCGGGGGAAAGCGGGGGACCUUCGGGCCUCGCACUAUUAAGAGCCGGCCGGUAUAUCGGAUUAGCUAGUUGGUGGGGGUAACGGCUCACCAAGGCGACGAUCCGUAGCUGGUUUAGAGGACGACCAGCCACACUGGGACACAGAGACACAGCCCAGACUCCUACGGGAGGCAACGAUGGGGGAAUUUUGGACGUAAUGGGGAAACCCUGAUCCAGCCAUCCCGCGUGUGCGAUGAAGGCCUUCCAGGUUGUAAGCACUUUUGGCAGGAAAACGGCACGGGAUAAUACCAUUACAUGACGUACCUGCAGAAUAAGCACCGGCUAACUACGUGCCAGCAGCAGAAAGUAUGCGUAGGGUGCAAGCGUUAAUCAGAUUACUGGGCUCAAAGCGUGCGCAGCGGAUUCCGGAAGAAAGAUGUGAAAUCCAGAGCUUAACUUUGACACAUUUUUAACUACCGAGCUGAUGUGUGUGUCAGAGGGAGGUGGGAACUACGCCGAUAUCAGCAGUGAUGCGUAGAUAUGCGGAGGAACACCGAUGGCGAAGGCAGCCUCCUGGGAUAACACUGACGCUCAUGCACAGCGUGGGGAGCAAACGGAUUAGAUACCUGGUAGUCCACGCCCUAAGCGAUGUCAACUAGCUGUUGGGGCCUUCGGGCCUUGGUAGCGCAGCUAACGCGUGGCGGUUGACCAGCACACCAGAAAUACAGUCGCAAGAUUAAAACUCAAAAGAUUGGCGGGGACCCGCACAAGCGGUGGAUGAUGUGGAUCCAUUCGUCGCGCGAAAAACCUUGCACCACCGCGCCAACAUGUCUGGAAUCCCGAAAAUUUGGGGAGUACUCGCAAAGAGAACCGGAACACGGGUGCUGCAUGGCUGUCGUCAGCUCGUGUCGUGAGAUGUUGGGUUAGAGAUCCUGGCGCGAGCGCAACCCUUGUCAUUGGUGCUACGAGGGCACUCGUGGACUGCCAUUGACAAACCGGAGGAAGGUGAGGAUGACGUCAAGUCCUCAUGGCCCGCUAUGGAGUGAACUACACGUCAUACAAUGGUCGGGACAGAGGGUCGCCAACCCCGCGAGGGGGAGCCAAUCCAGAAACCCGAUCGUAGUCCGGAUCGCAGUCUGCAACUCGACUGCGUGAAGUCCGGAAUCGCCUGGUAAUCGCCGGAUCAGCAUGUCGCGGUGAAUACGUUCCCGGGUCUUGUACACACCGCCGUCACCAUGGGAGUGGGUUUUACCAAAUGCGUUACCUUCUUAACCGUAAGGAGGGCGAUUACCACGGUAGGAUUCAUGACUGGGGUGAAGUCGUAACAAGGUAA
rnacentral:rRNA from 1 species